UCAUAUACUUAUUCUUUUUUGUGGUGAGAACAUUUAAGAUCUACUCUCUUAGCCAUUUUCCAGUACAUAAUACAUUAUUCUUAACUAUAGUCACCAUGCUGUAUCAUAGAUCUCAGAACUGAGAAUAAAUCUUUUUAUCUGUGUACAUCCCUGGGCAGCAAAUGAGAAUAAGAACCCUUAAAAAAUUCAGUGUCAUGAUUGCUAGUGUUCUUUUUCUGUGUAAACUUUUCUUAGCAAGGAAUCUCUUCCUAUUAACUAAAUUCUUAACUAUUUGACAUACUUUUUAAAAAAGUCCUGUCAAAAAUGACAAUGAUUUAUUGUACAUGUUUGUUUUUUCUUCCAGGAAUAUCUUCUUGCCAACAGAACUUAGAGGAAGACACAUAUGCCUAUGCCUCCCCUGCACAAGCAGAUUUUCAUAUCAUUAGGGUCUUACAUUUAUAGAUCAGGAAACAUGUCUAUUCUAUCCCAAUCCAUGAGUUGGAGCAGAUACAAUUACAGUUCUGAGAUCCUUUUAAGAUAAGAGGCCCCUUAGUACCUAUUAGCGUACCUAUAUUCUCAAACUAUGAAUGAGAGUUAUAAAGAGUGAAAUGGAAUUGAAUUUGCUAGAAUUUGUUGUGCUCGCAGUCCUGGCUCUUGCCAGUAUAAUUUCUUAAUCAAAGUCCACAAUCUCCUUAACUAGGCUUCUUCCAUUCUUCCAGGACAAACUACUUUUUUUUGUCCCUCUCUUGCCCAGUACAAUUACCCAGUGAAGAUUCAUGGACUGAAUCUGCAGAUGUUAUUGUCUAAUAUGUUACUGUCUGAUACUCUGUAAGUGUUACUAAUAUCUUUCCAUGGCACAGUCCUAAAUAGUUUUCGUAACUGUGGUUUUGAGCCUAUGCUUUUGUCAUUAUGUGUCAGAGUUUCUUGCACAUUUUCCAGGAAGCUGCAACUGAAUCAUUUUCAGGACUUUUAUAUAACCUAGUCUAUCAUCUGUAGUCCAAGAUUAAACAAAUACUGCAUGCUCUUGUGGUCUAAGUGAUACAAGAUGCGAAAGGGUUAUAACCAAACACUCCCUAAGUAGCUUGCUGCAGCCCAGGAAUGCUUACUGAAAUUAUCCAUAAUAUGUGAUAUAGCCAAAGGAGUUUAAAAAACACCCUCUCUUCCUUUCCUUAGGGCUUGUCCUAAGUUGUCCCUUCCUUGUCGGAGCUUGCUGCAUACACAGAGGCCGAGCACCUGUCAUGUGUUAUGAAUUAUAUUACGUAUUCAGCUGUGAUCUGGAAAGCCAUGUGCUUAGACAGUGAAGCCAUUGGAUGGAUGCCUCCUGGUUUACUGAGUUCCCAAAGAGAGGACAGAUGCUCGGGAGUUGCCCAAUUGCCAUAGCACUCGUGUGAGCAAGAAAUUCAACUUUGGAAGCAUCUUUCUGCUAUCAAGUUACCUGAGAAGUGAAUUUUAAUCAGAAUGCUUGGUAAGCAUAGAGUAAAAAUUGCUCUGGGAGACUGUUUUAUAGAAACUCUAGAAAAACCCAGGGAACUGUGCCAACUCCACAACUGUAUAUACUGUUUUAAUGACCAGAUAAUGGAAUCCCCAAACACAAUUUUUUUUUUUUUAACAAUUAAAAGCAUGAGUUGUUUUGGAACAGAGACAGUGAUGAGGAGCAGAAUUGAUAAGCCAUAUGGGAUAGGCAGAAUCGCCCUCCAAAGAUGUCCAAGCCCUUAUCCCUGGAACCUGUGGGUAUGUUACUUUGCAUAUCACAGUGGACUUUGCAGAUGUAAUUAAGGUCUUGGACAUGUAUUAUCCAGGUGGGCCCAAUCUACUCACACAAGCCCUUCAAAGCAGAAUUUUCUCUGCUUUGAAGUCAUAGAGAUGCAGUGGAAUAGGAAGCAGGAGAGGGAAUCAGAGAGAUUCUAAGUGUGAGAAGGGUUUGAAGUGCUGUUGCUUGCUCUGAGAUGUGGGGGGCCACCGGCAAGGACUGAAGAGGUCUUUGGGAGCUAAGGGCAAUCCCCCGCUGAUAGCCAGCAAAGAAAGCAGGAACCUCAAUCCUACAACUCCAAGAACAAAAUGUUGCCAACAACCUGAAUUUGGAAGCAGAUUCCUCCCCAGAGCCUCCAAAAAUGAAUGUGGCUCUGCCAACACCCUGAUUUGGCCUUAUGGAACCUGGAGCAGAGGAACCAAUUGAGCCAAGAUCUGCCCAGACUUCUGACCCAUGGAUAUGGCAAGAUAAUAAACGAGUGUUGUGUUAAGCCUUUAUAUUUGUGGUAACUUGUUUCAGUAGUAAUAAAAAAUCAAAAUGCUAUAUUAAUAUGUUCAAGUUCAGUCUAAAAAAAAAUCCCAGGGGAAAAAACAAACAAACCACAGUUGUGCAUGUGCCCACCUCCCCUUUUCCCAAACAGAAUUCAAGAGACAAGGACAGUGAAAUACCAGAUAGGUCGUUCAAGCACCAACUGUUAUCUGUAAGAUAUAAUGAAAAGUAAACAUCUGGUUCUUUGCAUAAUUUUGAUCAAAGGAGCAUAUUAUGUGUUGUGUACAUUUGGAGGAAAACCAACUGCAUUAGGAUUUUCAUCAGGGAAGAACUGUACAGGUGUCAAACGGGUCUGGGACACUGAGCCACUACUCCACACUUCACGUUAUCGUGAUCAAGGAGAGAGAUUGCACAUCUAACUUGAGUGAGGGAGUGAGCAGUCAUCGAGCGCCCAAUAGAAGGUCCAGGCUUCCUCAGUUGACAUACUGGGUGGAAAAUAUGAUGGAAUCAAAAGAAAGAGGAAAGAGAGGAGGAUUUUCUUCUGGGCCCUCUUUUUAUGCUCAUCACUCACCUGCAGUUGACUCAUGUCUGCUGGCUGCUGCUCAGGCCAGUGUUCCUGUAGUGCUCUUAU